GUCUUUGUGGUGUAGUGGUCAGCACGCUGAACGCGCAAUCCAGAGGUCCGUGGUUCGAUUCUCGGCGAAGGCA
rnacentral:tRNA from 1 species